AUUUCCUCUAGGAUGUGUGAAGGGACUUUCUUCUCCAGGGCAUCUCUGGAAAUUCUCUGCAUCUUCACGGAGGCUGUAAACCUUGGCUCCCCUCCUCAUGAUCACUCACAAAUACACACCAAUUGUGCUACUAAGAACAUGGUUCUCAGAUGCCACCUUUUUCAGCAUCCUGGGAAAGAAGUCCUGAGAGGGCAGGAAACUGGGAUGAGGGAGGACAACUUGCUUCUUGUGACUUUGUAGGAGAGAGAACCUAGGAAGACUACGCAGUAACAUCAGCUCGAGAGUGACAACCUGGCUCAGACAGAGAGUAUUUCUUACACUCUCAUUAUUCAUAUUAAAAGGAAAUUGAUAAUAAAUAUUUUUACACUCUCCAAC
rnacentral:lncRNA from 1 species